rnacentral:lncRNA from 1 species
ACUCAUUCCCGGGCCUCCGGCUGACCACGGGAAAGGGGAUCUUCAGGAGCGGGUGUCUCAUGGCUGGGAAGAGGACGGCACAGGAGGGCUGGGGAACCCGAAUUGCAGCCUGAAUGGCCAGUGUCCUUUCUCCAGAAUGCAGUUCUCCCUUGCUCAGAAGAAAUGAGUCUGCCAGUGGGUACAACAUGAGAUGAUACUUCCACCCCCAUUGGUGACAGCCCUCACCUAGCUAUCAAGACAGUGUUCGACUUCCUUCACUCCUUCCAGGGGCCAGCAUGUGGCUGGCCACUGUCCACCCUCAGGGGUUGUGAACUGAAUUAAAGGGUUGCGUCCUUCAUCCAUUUUCUUUGCUGAACUGUCUUGAAUUUUACCCUAAGUUCAAAAUGAAGCAGACCAUAGCUGAGUUUAAAGGAGAUCCGAUUGACAUUGGGAAGUGGCACCCAAUAAGAUGGCUGUUUCUUCCGCCUGCUCCAGGGCUCGCCAACAGGAGAACUGAAAGCUGAAGCAUCUCAACCUGCAGAUACAUCUCAAAGGCCCCUUCAGCCGAUGUCCUCAGUGCCCUUGACACAGCCCCUUGGCACUUGCCUUCCACACACAUGCUGCUGCACCAGUUUCCUCCUGGUAGCAUCUUCCUUUCCGCCUGAGGAUUUCCCAGGCAUCCUGCCUCCAAGAAAGUCAGAAGUCAGUGCCUUCCUGAGAGCCGGUGAGAGCUCCGUCUCCCUUGGGCAAGUGGUGCUGAUGCCUGUUCCCUGCAUCCAUCUCUCAGAAGCCACAGCAGAACUGAGCUCCAGGGGCCACUGCGAGAAGCAUUUAUGGAGCUCGUGGAGUGAGGCAUCUCUUUAAUCCCUUCAGUAAGUCAGUGUGGGCCAAGGAGUCUGAGGAUCAGAGACCUUGUGACUUUUUAAGUGAAGAUUUACUAUGUGCUGGGGCCCAUUGUGUUUUAUUUUAUUGACUCGUCCCAAGCUCUAAGAGGGAGAGACCUUGAUUGUCCCAAUUUCACUGACACAGUUUGGGAAGGUUAAAACAUGAUGAAAGGAAAUAGACUGGAAUGAUACAGUAAUAUGGAAUUGAGCAUUUUCACCAACAUUUUUACAUGUUUUAAAAUGUCAUUUUCUGGCCAGGGGUGGUGGCUCACGCCUGUAACCCCAGCACUUUGGGAAGCUGAGGCUGGUGGAUCACUUGAGGCCAGGAGUUUGUGACCAGCCUGGCCAACACAGUGAAACCAUGUUUCUACUAAAAAUAUAAAAAAAUGGCUUGGUGUGGCCGUGCGCACUUUAAUACCAGGUACUUGGAAGGCCGAGGCAUGAGAAUCACUUGAAACUGGG